rnacentral:rRNA from 1 species
ACGGCUCAGUAACACGUAGUCAAUCUACCCUAUGUACGGGAAUAACCUCGGGAAACUGAGAAUAAUGCCCGAUAGAACAUUAUGCCUGGAAUGGUUUAUGUUUCAAAUGAUUUAUCGCCAUAGGAUGGGACUGCGGCCUAUCAGUUUGUUGGUGAGGUAAUGGCCCACCAAGACUAUUACAGGUACGGGCUCUGAGAGGAGUAGCCCGGAGAUGGGUACUGAGACACGGACCCAAGCCCUAUGGGGCGCAGCAGGCGAGAAAACUUUGCAAUGUGCGAAGGCACGACAAGGUUAAUCCGAGUGGUUUCUGCUAAAGAAACCUUUUGUCAGUCCUAGAAACACUAACGAAUAAGGGGUGGGCAAGUUCUGGUGUCAGCCGCCGCGGUAAAACCAGCACCUCAAGUGGUCAGGAUGAUUAUUGGGCCUAAAGCAUCCGUAGCCCGUUUUGUAAGUUUUCGGUUAAAUCCAUGCGCUUAACGUAUGGGCUGCCGGGAAUAAUGCAUAACUAGGAAGUGGGAGAGGUAGACGGUACUCGGUAGGAAGGGGUAAAAUCCUUUGAUCUAUUGAUGACCACCUGUGGCGAAGGCGGUCUACCAGAACACGUUCGACGGUGAGGGAUGAAAGCUGGGGGAGCAAACCGGAUUAGAUACCCGGGUAGUCCCAGCUGUAAACUAUGCAAACUCAGUGAUGCAUUGGCUUAUGGCCAAUGCAGUGCUGCAGGGAAGCCGUUAAGUUUGCCGCCUGGGAAGUACGUACGCAAGUAUGAAACUUAAAGGAAUUGGCGGGGGAGCAC